CAGCAGCCGCGGUAAUUCCAGCUCCAAUAGCGUAUACUAAAGUUGUUGCAGUUAAAAAGCUCGUAGUUGGAUCUCAGGUCGUGCCUUGCGGUUCGCUUCGCGGCGUUACUGCGUGGCGCGAUCUAACUCCCGGUCUUCGCAUGGUGCUCUUCGUUGAGUGCUUUGCGCGGCCGGAAAUUUUACUUUGAAAAAAUUAGAGUGCUCAAAGCAGGCGAUCCGCUUGUAUAGUCGUGCAUGGAAUAAUGGAAUAGGACCUCGGUUCUAUUUUGUUGGUUUUCGGAACGGAGGUAAUGAUUAAGAGGGACAGACGGGGGCAUUCGUAUUACGGUGUAAGAGGUGAAAUUCUUAGAUCGCCGUAAGACGAACUACUGCGAAAGCAUUUGCCAAGAAUGUUUUCAUUAAUCAAGAACGAAAGUCAGAGGUUCGAAGACGAUCAGAUACCGUCGUAGUUCUGACCAUAAACGAUGUCGACUGGCGAUCCGCGGACGUCGCUUUUAUGACCCCGCGGGCAGCCUCCGGGAAACCAAAGUCUAUGGAUUCCGGGGGAAGUAUGGUUGCAAAGCUGAAACUUAAAGGAAUUGACGGAAGGGCACCACCAGGAGUGGAGCCUGCGGCUUAAUUUGACUCAACACGGG
rnacentral:rRNA from 1 species